rnacentral:lncRNA from 1 species
ACAUCUUGCACUGUAUUUAUCCGAGCACCAAAUGCGUUGACGUCAGCUGUUGUUAUUCGAAAAGUAUGUCGAAUGACUGACUCCCUCUUACAACAGCAGCCUUUGUAACUCGAGAAAUGAGAACACGUCAUAAUACAUAAUGGCAAUAUUUACAGUACUGUAUUAUGAUUGGCAAGUUUGAUGCUGUUGUUAACAAAUGUACAUAGGUAGGUUGGUUCAUGGUUGAGAUGAAAGCAAUGCAAGUAAGUACAUUUUGAUAGACUCCCACAUUUACCAAAACCCUUUUUUCAUGACCAUACAUUAAAAUAAGUAGGUUUGUACGCUUGUGUUUCACGGUGAAGUAAAACAAAGUGUAAGUAAAAGUUCGCAGCCAUUUCAUAAAUGCGCGACGAAUGUGGCCCUAUUUCGUGAAUCACUAGGUCGGAGGUAUUCUCAUGGUGACGUUAGCCGCAUCACAACUCGUGUAUAACUACCACCCGCAACCCCCUUCCAACUCCAAACUCUUUAUUGAUGCCGUUUUACUGUGCUGCGUUGGUUAACGGUUCGGUUUCGUCAAAAUUUAUUUUUCCUGAAUCUCUUAUUAGGUUACUUUAAUUUUAGAACUGACGAAUGAUAGCUAAGACUAAUAUGUAACAGGUCUCGUGUGACGAAUGUAGUAUGGAAGUAGUUUAAAUUGAUCAGAUAAAGUAGCUAUCUUACGUUACCUGCUAGCUUGUCUUUCGACGCCUACAUGAUUUGUUGCCUCAGCUUUUUUUUUUGCGAUUGUUGCUUUUACUCGAGUACUGAAUUGCUUACGAUUCGUAUGCAAUAAGAUUAACAUUAUAGCUAUAAGAAACGAUCAAGCUGACGUGUCCAUUAUGAAAGCCACAACAAGGUUAUCGUUAGGUGGCAGGGUAUUGUUAUUAUCAUCGUCAGUUACGUAGUUUAACACAAAAGAAUGCUUAUUUCAGCUGAGUUGGCAUCUCUACGCUAAGUAACAGCGAAAAUGUCACAUUUGUUAAUAACUACGGUACCUAGUCAAGAAGGCUUUACCAAACAAAAUGCGCGUGUUGUGGCGCAGUUGUAGGCCUGAUAAAAAAAAUCGCGGCGUGUCACGAUGUAGUGGAGAAAUGGCUGCCCGGGUGAUUCAGUACUGGUGCAGCUAUCUGAAGUUAAAAAAAAAAUGAAGAUCAUGAAAGAAUCAGGUUGUAUAAGUGUCAUUGAAAGAACCAAGUUACAAGACCAGAACCUUAUGAAAGGAGUGAAGCCGUUCGAAUAGCCAGCUAAAUAUUUGAAUAGAAGUUGAGCGUAGGUCCCACACAUCCGAGGCAGUAUAGCUACUUCGAUGCGUAUAGUAUUUUGUUAACCUAAAAUGAAGACUAGUUUACAAGAGGAGAAUUUUGAAUCCUUGGGAAUGGGCAGUAAAAUAUACCACUUACAAGACGAGCAUCAUAUGAAGAAAUGAGAAUGGCUAGCUAAAUAUUUGAAGAUCAAGUUGAACGUAUGUCCCUUAAACUGCCUCGGAUAUAUCUACUUCAAUGCGUUAGAAGUGUUUAUUUUAGUUGGUUGCGCAUCAGGAAAUACAAUUUAUAGUGGGUAAGGAACCAAGGAAAAAUGACUUUGGUUUUAUGUAAACUGAAUAAGUGCUGGUAGUUUGUCUCAUCAGUGUAGGCAACAUGUGAAAUAACCAAGUUACUGAUCUUGAACCAUAUGAGAAGUUGUGAAGCCUCUUGAAUAGCCAACUGCAUAUUGGAAGUUGGGCUGCAGUUGCUUUUGAGUAAUUUUUAUAUAUUUUUGUAGCCUGAAGUGAAGUACAAUAUGUGCUUAAGUUGUGAGACCUUACUUCAAUAGCAAACUAAAUAUUGGAAGAUAAUUUAGGCCAACAGUGGCUGUUUGUCAGUCAUUUAAGCUGCUUCAAGAAGUAAAAAUGUUUUGAGCCUAAAAUGAACAAGAUGUGCUGCGGAUUUCAUUUCCAAGUACAGCAGUUGCUUUGAUAGCACUAGCGGUAGUUCAAGGAGUUGCAGGCUAGUGACGUUGCUUUGUCACGCUUCAGAUCUGAUAAACUUUUUCUAAACACAAUUGGCUCUAGUUGGUGAAGAAAAGAAGAUUUUUCUGUAGAAGAAUGGACUGAGUUUGAGUUUUUUUUUAAAGUGCUGUGGGGGCACUUAGCUAGUAGGCAGUUUGUGAUCAGACGAGGAAGGACGACUUCAGGAUCAGGCAAGGACCAGGCAGAGGGAAUCUGGGCGGACCAGGCAGAGGGAAUCUGGGAGGACCAGCGGGGAGCCAGGCAGGAUCCAGGUGGAUCGCGGGAGGAGCAGAUGGGAACCAGUUGAGCGAGCGGAAUGCAGCAGAGUUUUCAUCAAAGGGAGCGAGCCAGGUGGCAGGGUAGCGAGCAUCCCAGAGUGAGCUGAGAGCGGAGCAGUCCCAGGUCGAGUGUUGCCCUAAAGCAGCCAGUGGGUCCCAGCAGCAAUGAGGUGACGAGUAAAAGGGCCAACUAGCUUCGCAAGUGACAAGUGUUUGUAUGAUGGGUAGCGGUAUACAGUAAUGUUUAACUAGGCCAAAAAUCUUUGAAAUUAGUCAAUGUUAAAUCUGUCAACACAUUUGCUCGCGAAGUUUUCUUCCUCUUUCAGGCAAUGGUAAAGUGUUAAUUUUCCUGGUUGCGGCCCUUUCCUGUGUGAUGUCUGCUGUGAUGAGUCCCCCUUGGCCUACUUGGUAGAGUGCACUGGCGAGAGGACUGUCUUAAAGGAUUUCACCCUCCUGCAGCGCAGAUGUAGUACCCCCCCUGGGCGGAGGCGUUUCUUCUUCAUUGAGUUCAAUAGGUCUACCCCCGAGAAGUGGUCUACAUGGGAGUGUUGAGAGUCGAAAUUCUUCUGUACGUUCGUACCACAACGCAGCUUUGGUGCUGAGCAGCUACAUCUGCUGGUUAAAGCUCGCACCUUAAAGCAAACCUGACCAUCCAAGGGAGUCCCUCUUUAGUACUGCCCGCCACAUUAAUCAAAACGGUUGAGCACGUCCCGUAACAGAUAAUUCUAAGGAUGGAUCAAGGGAAACCUCUGGUGUUAAAAUCAUGUAGGAAGGUAUUUUGUGCUGGUUUUCUGUAGUGAGUUGAUCAUUUGCAUAUACUGUUUUUCUUCCAAUAUGUUGUAGGGAUACACACUUGAGUUCUGGGAGGGUUGUGGGGGUGUUAAUCAAAUAUUUUCCUAGAAUUUCUUUUCACACAGCUUCGUGUAAAGCAGCGUUUUAAAGAUCCAAAUGGCUAGCGUUGAGGUUUGAGGAGCAAGGAAUCAACCCGGUGGUCCACAUCUUUCAGGUUUCCUUUUGCCUUGUGGUGUGGAUAUUCCUUGGUGUCUACAAUGGUGUAGCAGGAGGCGGGCCACAUUUUGGGAUGUGAACUUGCGGUGUUCUCCCAGGGAGUGUGGUAACCCUUAACUUUUAGGCUGAUGCAUUUUAUAUCCUGGAGUUGAAAUUUGCAUUUGGUUUCUGGGGUCAGGGGAGAGCUUAACUGUGACUCUUCCAGAUUAUGACCCACCCCUCAAUGAAAGAAACUGGAGAUCUACAUCUCCCUCGUCUUAAGGAGAACAGCUGAUGCCUUGAGGCCAGUGGUAUUUAACUGUUUCUUGUGGAAAGUUAUUGAUUUGGUGUUAGUGAAUUUGUGUUAAUUGUAUUUUAGCAACUGUUAAUACAAUUUUGAUAGUGGGUUGGUUACUGUCUGGGUUUGUAUGGGUGGGAAUGGUGGAAGUCUUGUUUUCCCUUUUGCGUUUUCCAGUGUGCUGUGUCCUACUGCGCUUUCAAUACUGAAGAUCAACAGGAACGCCCCUAACGCAUUGUAUGUAAAGGUUUACUAUUGCUUCAAAACACCACGUUGGGUCUCAAUGUUUUCACAUUUUAUAUUUCAUUAAUGACAUUUUGCAACUUGCCUUAAUUGCUCUCCUUUGCAAAUUAGUUAAAUGUUUUGUAUUGAUGCAACUGAACUCUGUCAAGGAAUGAUAAUUGGUAAUAAAUACAUAGCUUGUUGUGAUUGAAGACAGUUUUGGUAUGCAUUUGUUAUUCUGGGGGACUCUUGUGUGGGGGCUUUUCUUGUGCUUUUUCAGGUAUGACUUAGCUUGGUGCUUUUAGAUCACGGAAGUGACCUGGGCCUGAUGGCAGCUCUUACAAGGUGGAAAGUGAAGGUUUCAGAUAAGUUCAAUCCAGCUUGUAUCAUGUCCAAAAGUGGGAAAAUUCAUGACAUGCCGCCUGGUUGUCUGAAUGGGCCCCAUUGCUGCCUCAGUUGAUUGGUCUUCAAUAGAGACGCAUCUACUUAGCAAUACGACUCUGCCACUACUUGUGGUAUGUAGAAGUUGCACUGCUGUGCUUUCACUGAGUGCAAAUCUCUUCUGGUGGAGACUUUUCAACUCAAAAUGUUAUGCUAAUUAUAAAGCAUAUUUUGUCUACGGGUAACAAAUGUCAGUGCUGUGAGGGUGGGUAUAGGGCUGUUUGUUUUUGAUCUUUCAGAAUUACAAAAGCCCAAAUGAAGACUGCCUUCUACCCGUGACAUGACCACAGGAAUCGCCCCUCCUUUGAACUCCUCUACACAGGCAGGACAGUUUGAACACCUUCAUUACAUUAGACCAUUUCUAGUUUGCUUUUGGCUCUCAGCUACCUGCACUUGUGCAACUGUGCAAGCAGUCUUGUAUCGUAGUAGCCUUUCAUUCCUCUUCAACUGUAUAGCAUAUUUGGUUUUCCUUUGUAGCUGUCGUGCAACUGUGACAGCGUUCCCAAAUUAAGGUAGCUGAGGAACACUGCGCAACUGUGCAGCUGUAAUUUGGACUGCAAUUGUUUUGCUUUUGGAUUGGUAGAUGAGGGUUGGGAGGAGAAUUCUGCACUUUUUCUCUACAGAAAUCUGAGUGCGUCUUGGUGAAGCACGAAUGAAGUCUUCUAACCUGCCGCACGUAGUAAGGUGUUGGUGUACCUUUUCAGUCUUCAUUUCAUAUCAAACUCCAGACCCCUGCCAUGUUUUAGUUUGGUUCAAUGGACAUCUUCAACUGGCUUCCUGUUAACCUCCUAUCGUUAAUAACCAUCAUCAAGCCAUGCUUUUACCAGCAUAUGCCCCUUUCUUUGGCUCAGAGCCCUACUGCUUUGCAUCUUUAAAGUAAGUUGAGUAAAAUGUAUGUUGUGAGUACUGUGGUGGUUUGUGUAGAAACCUUUGUUUCAGAUCAUUAUCUUGUAUCACUGUCCGCUGACUGCGCCUCCAUCUGAAUGUAACGCCGUCGCAGGAAACUCGACAAAUGAAUGUGGCCCCUGAAUGAAGUAUCUACCCUCUGCGCUUGAGCUUAGUCAAACCUCUCCACUCGACGGUCUUCAGUCUCUUCUCUCUCUGUGCUGUCUGUGCUCCUUUCCUUUCCCCCUUUUGGUUUCUCAGGUGACAAUUUCUCAUCCGACGUAAAAUUGUCAUGAAUUGGCAUUCGUUAUCUGCCUCUAACUGCGUGAUGGAACACUGAGAACCCAGUCACUUUCAGAUCAAGAGCCACAAGCUUGUCUUGCUGAAAAUUGAGCAUCACUUCAGUUUCUUGGUUACUAAGUUAAGUCAUUUUGGUUCCCUUUUGCUUUUGAACACACCAUGGCUAUGUUUUAACACAACCUUUUGACUCUGCAUGCAUAUCAGCUCUGCAUAACAUUUUGAAUUUCAAAAUGCGCAACAUAACUUUCAUAUAGUUAAUGUGUAAAAUAGGCACAUACCAGUAGGUGUUGGGAGGGUGGGGGCAACACUUUCUUCCUUCCUUUCAGGUAUCUCUUGAGUGAACUUGUCGUUACUGGGUGCUUGCAGCUGCAGGGAGUCACGGGAAGUGUCUUGGUUUGAUCCAGUUCUAGGAAGUUGAGAGCAUCAGUGUAGAGAAACUGGUUGGUUGUGGUUUGUACUGUUUCUGUCAGUCACAGUAAAUUACAUCUUAAAAUAUUUUCUAUUUCAGGGAUAUGUUUUGGGGGGGGGGUGUAAUUGUUCCUCUUUUGUCUUUACAGCUUCAAAUCUAAGAGCUCAAUCCUUGCAAGUUUGACUGACCUCUGGACCAAUGUCAGUGAUAAGAUCUACACUUACGUUGUGAAUUUGUCUUACUGUUAUCAUGGAUGAAAUGUAGUAAUGUGGAAUUGCUCUAAUGGCAUUAAGUGUCUUCCUGGGGUUUGCUGGGGAUGGGGGGAAACAAGUUGUCUUUUCCUCUAGUUUCAGGCUUGCGACGAUGCUAAAGUCCUCAGGUUCGUGUAGAGCAGCAGGUGCUAAGGGUUUUUCUUUUCCUGGGGGAACAAACCCUCUGGUUUUUGUUCUUCCAGGUUUUGCUUUUUGUCCUUGCGCAAAAAAAGCAAAAGACUCCGGUGGUGGCACUCCUGAUAGUCCUCAGGACGGGGUUCAAUUCCCUGCGGCGUCUUUGCUUUUCUCAACCUGCUGCUUAGUUGGGUAAGCUAGUUAAAACAGGAACCUAGGUAGUUAAAAUAAUUUAUAGGGUCAUAUUGCGAUUUUUAAAUGACGCGAGCAGAGCUCAGCUUCUUAUUAGCUAGCUAACAUUAGCUUUAUUAUAUCUAUAUAGUGUUAGGUGUACUGUUUUGAAAUAACAUUCUUUAUAUUGAUUUGAUUGUAUACAUAGUCUUAGCAAGCUCUUUGGCAGCAAGCUAAGCAUUUUUAGCUAUAAUAUUUAGCUAGCUUGCUUUGCAAAUGUUAGCCUAGUUAGCUAGCUAGCAUCAAGUGUUGGUGAUAGAAAAAUGGCCGUAGAAGCAACUCGAGCUUAGUUUAGAAGACUUGACUUUUCAAUUCAUUUUGAGGCACCUGUAGAACAAGGAGCUAGUUAGCAAAGAUUUUUUCUGUGCCCUUGGUGUACAACAAACUCCCUCACGACGCCAGGACAGCGGAGUCAAUCAUCACCUUCCAGAGACACCUGAAACCCCACCUCUUUAAGGAAUACCUGGGAUAGGUAUAUAGAUGUACUAUUGUAAAGUGGUUGUUCCACUGGAUAUCAUAAGGUGAAUGCACCAAUUUGUAAGUCGCUCUGGAUAAGAGCGUCUGCUAAAUGACGUAAAUGUACAUCAUUGAAGUGUAUCGUCUUAAAUUGACAGUUGCCAUAGUUAUUGAGGCUUUUUAGUAUGCGCCCCUUGUGGGAACACAACCAAAUAUUAACUGUUCCAAAAAUGUUUCUACUUAGGCUUGCUUGCCAACCCAUAAAUGUUAGUUAGAAGAAACUGGUUUCUAAUGGAAUUUAUUUUGUUUAGUCUAUUGGUUGAGACAUGACUUGUAGUUCAGGAGAUGAGUUUAAUUUACUUUAAGUUAUGAAUAAAAUCUAUGAACUGUACAAAAUUGUGUGCUGACUGUCAUACCUCAUUACAAUGUUUUAAAUGACUUAAUUCCAAGGAUUUAUUUAGGUUAUACGUUACAAUUUUACUUGACAUGUUUUAAUGUGCUUUUCAUAUUUGACAAAGCCAAUUUUAGUGACCUGAAGUAUAUUUUCAUUACUGAGUAGAGUAAGCCUACAUAACCAAGGAAUGGGGGUGUAUUUAAUUAUUUCACCUUUAUUUAACCAGGUAGGCCAGUUGAGAACAAGUUCUCAUUUACAACUGCGACUUGGCCAAGAUGAAGCAAAGCAGUGCGACAGUUACAAAUGUACAGUCACAAUAUAUAUAUAUAUAUAUAUACACAGUGUGCAAAUGUAGGGAGGUGAGGCAAAAUAAUUACAAUUAUGCAUUAACACUGGUGUGAUAGAUGUGCAAGUAGUGCUACUGGGGUGCAAGAGGAUAAGUAACAAUAUGGGGCGAGGUAGUUGGGUGUGCUAUUUACAGAUUGGCUGUGUGCAG